UGAAAAUGAAACAAUUUGACUACUUCUACAAGUUAGGAACUACAAAGAAUUUGAAGAUGUUCCAGUGAAGAGCCAGUGAGAUGUUAUCUACUGUGGACCUGUUGCUCUAGUAGCCAAACUGAAGUGGAUCCAAGUCACUUCUCAGCCCUGACGAAGGGUUCCGGCCCGAAACAUCAACUCAUCGUUUCUAACUGAUGUUGUCCGACCUGCUGAGUUCAUCCAGCAUACUGAAAGUAUUGCUUUGAUCACAGCAUCUGCA